rnacentral:lncRNA from 1 species
AAUAAGAUUCUAAUUCUAAUAGAAUCCUAAAUAACUCCAAUUAAACCUUAAAAAUAUUCAUCAAGCUUUAAUCAAUCCAAUGAACUUCAUAGAUAUUUCAAAAGAAGCAUGAAGAAAUCCUAAAGAAAUUCAAAAGAAGUAUUAAACUAAAAUCUAAAAUAUAUCUUAAAUAAAUUCCAACCAAAUCUUACUUAAAUUCUAGAUAUAAUCCUAAUAGUCCUUACUUAAAUCCUAAAUAAAAUCUUAACUAAAUCCUAAACAAAUCCUAAAUCCUAACCAAUUCCUAAAUCCUAAAUCAACCCUUAUCAAAUUAACCUACCUUUGGAGCAAUUAAGAACCUCAAUAUCUAUCAAUUAUAUUCUUGAUAUUACUUAAGAAUUUAUACACCUUUCAAAAAUUAAGUUGGCAAAAAGCACAUAAAAUUUGAAGAAGAUUAAACUUAUUGAAUAGAAGAUCAACUCAAAAUUCUGCUCAGGUGUUAGCUAGCCUUUUACUCCAAUCUGAAUGUUGAAAUUCCAAUGCCAAUAUCUCCUUCUUGAACUAUUGAAUUAAUUCCA